rnacentral:rRNA from 1 species
AUGGUGGAGUGGCGCCGGCGCCACCCGGAGGACGUCGCCUACGAGCAGGUCUACUGGGCAAGGUGCCGCGAGGAGGACACGCGAAGGCGCCGCGAGGAGCGGCUGGACAGGCGUCGGCGGAAGGCGUUGGCGAAUGCGCAGUCCGAUCUCGUUGCAGCAGGUGGGCAGUCGUUCUUCACGCCGGACGAUGAUCGGUGGCUGGACAUCUGGCUAGAUACCUCGGACAACACCGCCGAGGAUGAUAAUGGUGAUGAUGAUAGCGACUUAGAGUAG